UACGUAGGGGGCUAGCGUUGUCCGGAAUCAUUGGACGUAAAGAGCGUGUAGGCGGUCCGGUAAGUCCGCUGUGAAAGUCGGGGGCUCAACCCUCGAAUGCCGGUGGAUACUGUCGGGCUAGAGUGCGGAAGAGGCGAGUGGAAUUCCUGGUGUAGCGGUGAAAUGCGCAGAUAUCAGGAGGAACACCUAUUGCGAAGGCAGCUCGCUGGGACGCAACUGACGCUGGAGACGCGAAAGCGUGGGGAGCAAACAGG
rnacentral:rRNA from 1 species